UAAUUCCUGUUUGAACUAGAGCAAAUUGUUUAGAAAAACAUGCCAGCUUGAUUAAGAAAUUUCCAGUAAUGGAGAAUCCAACACAACCCUUGAUAAAUUGUUCCAAUAAUUAAUUUCACUCACUCUUAAAUAUUUGCACCUUAUUCAUAGUUGAAAUUUGUCUACCUUCAACUUCCUGCUGCUGGAUCUUGAGGGCUGAACCAGCCUACUUGAAAUGUUAAUAAUUUUGGAAGCUACCACUUGCUCCAAGAUGGUUCCCCAGCUUGAAGCCACAACAAGUAAUGUUAUGGUGGAAAGCAGCUGUGCUGAACAACCAGCAUCAUCUGAAGACGUGUCAUUUCUUCAAGGGAAUGUUCAAAUGUUGGUGGACGCUAUCCAGAAGGACAGCGCAAGCCACCUAAAGGAUAUGACUUGUAACUGGACCUUGUUUUUGUUCCCUCUACAAGUACUUCUGAGGAGUUGCACCCAUUUCAUUUUGGGAGGACGAUAGAUGUAAUAUAUUUGAAGGUAUUGAGUAAAGUGUUGAAUCUG